AUUGCCUGACUUACUCAUUUUAAAUCAAUCAAUCAGUCAAUCAAAGAACAAGCAUUUUAAGCUUGCGGCACACCUACGUGUGCCAAUGCACUGUUUAAAAGAUAAGCAUGGCAGAUACUAUGAAAGACACUUGUUUACUCAGAACUAAACAUAGCCCGAAAUUUUAUUUCUUUUAAAAUUGUGAAAUUAGUGCAAAGGUGAGACUUUUGCAGAAGGUAUUAAUUUAACUCCUCCAAUAUUUUUAGUACUCUGCUGUGAUUCUCUCCUCCGCUCCCCAAACUGACAAGUCAGCUUUUGUGAUGCCAAAGACAUGGUACUCAAGGAUGGAAAAUAACCGACCCUCUUGUCUAUGGCUACGACAGGGUUUGUAACAUUUUAAUAUGACAGGAAUGAAAGGGAAUGAGAACUCUUUAUUCCAGUAUACUGGACAAACUUUUCCCUGCCCUUUCAAGCUCAGAAUCUCAAAUCUGAUGCUUUUCUGUCCAGAACUAUUGUCGUGAGCUGCCUCCUUUUAUUUCCAAUGUCGUUAAUUUUCCGGCCAUUUCUCAGGGUUACAGUCUUAAACUAGGACUCUCCCCUCCCCACGUCUGGCUUGCUUGUUUAUCAGAGCCCCAAGCCUAGAAGGCUCCUCCCGCCCCGGCUUUCUGUACUCUUUCCCCUUCCAGCCUUGGGUGGAAAGUCUCCAACCAGGAAAAGUACCCUGCUGGCCUUUCCUUCAGAUCCACACCUGCCGCAAGGAAUUUUCCAUCCAUUUAUGACAGGUUUUCAAGCCUCGCCUCUCUAAAUCUCUCACUCGCGAUUUUAAGUAAGUUAUAAGGUAUAUGUGAGGAUGUGAGGAUGCAGCAGUACACAAGGAGGGAAGGGGGGACGUCCAGGGACCAGCUCUGUUUGUGGCCUUCGCCUCCUCCCCCACCCACAACUUCGCCAGCCCAGGAGCUUGUUCGGGCAAGUCUGGCCGCAGACCACUCGUGCAGCCGGGGCUGCUUCCUACUUCUCCUUUCUUCGCGCAGUCAGGAGGAGAGCGGAGCUCUGACUCUCCAGGUAACUCCUGCGCCUCGCUCACGCUCACGCUCACGCUCACGCCUUCGCCGAAUGCUCCUUCGCCGCAGCCCCAGCGCGGCUCGUCGCUUACCGGCCACCCUCCAGAGCAAGAGUCUGGAGCAAGGAUUGUCAGCGGUCUGCUCCGUCUCUGUCUUACGGCCAGAACCUCUCUUCCCCAGUCUGACCAAGAUGUCUAGGCAGAACGCACCUGAACCUCUCCCGCCGAGUGAGCCCAAUCCUUCGCCUCCGCAACCUGCAGGUAAGAGAGGUAGCUGAUCUGAGAUGGGGAAGGGGUAGAGUCAACCCGGGGAUUGCAAGCGGGGGCCACUAGUUAGAGGCCACGAUCCUUCUAGUUUAGAUCAGGUCAGGUCACAGUUCGUCCACUCUCAUAGGACCAUAGAUGUAUUGCAGACGGCAGAAUUUUGAGACCUGAAGCCGUUAAGAGAGCUCAAACUGACUUGGUAUGGGAUAGAUAGUUCGAACCCAAGUCCUCAAAUCUACUGAGCCAUGGAGGCUUCUCCAUGGUCAGAUGUCUAAUCCCAGUGCUGGUAGAGAAUAGCCUGCUUGGGAGGGGGGAAAGUCUUCGUUAGGGAUGGAGUGGCGAGGUGCAUUUCUGAUUGCUGGGUCAAGACCAUCUUGGGGCGGGAGGGAAGAAAGGAAAAUGCCAAGGUGGGACCUAAAGGUGUUUUUAUUCGCCUCAUUCACCGGCUCUGUUUAUUGGCUUGUAGCUUGAAUGCAUAUUUGUCUCCUUUGGGGGAGAAAGUCGGAACUGGAGGCUUAGGGAUGCUAAGAAGAUCACUAAACUUGACUGAGGUUGGGGGCGGGAUGGAGCAAACAGCCCUGGCAGAAAUUUGUUCCCAGGAAACUAAACCUCCAGGUCCCUCUUGUAGUUAACUGGAUCCUUGGAGCAUCUCUGGACUACAGCAAUACCCCGAUGUCCCACUAUCCCCCUCCCCCACUCACACGAAUCAAGUUAAAGACAGCAAACUUAGGCUUCUGUCAAAAAAAAAAAACAACCCAAACCGUUGAACAUCUAGGGCUGUAAAUCAGUGUUUUAGGACUGAUUUUUAUCAGACAGUUGUUGCAUCAUGUUUUUGUUUCCUUCCGGAGAACUUUUUCAAAGAGUUAGAAGCUCUUUUGACCCUGCUUCGAUUAUUUUGAGUUAGAAUAGAUUCUAUGCCCUCUUGGGUCAGAAAAAGUUUAGAAAUAGUUUACUUGCUUGUUGAAAAGUCAGAUCAAUUUGAUCUUAAGUUCAAGAAUAUCAACACUCAUUUUACUUUGAACAUGUUAAUUUUGUUUUUCCAGAUCCAGAAUUUAAUCAAGGUACAAUUGAAUUGGCCAAACGAAUUGUAGAAAUUGGAGACAAGCUGUAUUUUGAAUACCUUGUUCGAAACUUGUUGUCCACGAUUUCCGACACAACCUGAAGUUAACUGACAGAUAUGACUUUAACAAUGAAGAUCCCCAGUAUGUUGGAUGUUGUAAAAGAUUUUGAGGGCAAAAUGUGGAAGAAACUAGCUUUUCAGUGAAUGCUGUUAAGGUUUGUUAUAAGCCAUUCUUUUCAACCAUGGAAAGUCAAGAGGAUACUUGGGAACCUGGAGUGUUGCAUUUCAGCAUUUUCAACACUGUUCGGUGGAAAACUAAUGCCCGUAUGAAAUGUUACAUGUCACUUAACAGAUGCAUAUAAAAUGUUUACCUUGAACAAUGUCAAGAUUUAAAACAGGAUUUCUAGUUACAUCUGCAUUAUGUGCAUUAUGACAGAUGAAUGUUUCGAUCUGCAUGCACUACUAUGUAAUUUCCAAUUACAUGUGUAUGGGAAGAACUUGAUUCUUACCAACAAGAAACAUUUCAAGCCUUAUCUGGUUUAUUUGGUUUACAUAGUGAAUUUUACAGGUUUGGUUUCUUUUAGAUGUAAUUAGUACAUGGAUUUGAAAAAUGGUGGGAUCUUUUUGUUUAAACUAUGAUUUGUAAUGUGCCUUCCACUUAUUUAUUUAAUUUAUGGUUAGAAAUUCUUGAUAGCUCAUUUUUGUAUUGAAGGUUAUGCUAUGUGAAGACAUGUAUGACAGUGUUUGGCAUGUUAUUGCAAUAAAGUUAAAUUAAAACCUGGAUUAAUAUAACCA
rnacentral:lncRNA from 1 species